UGGGGAAUCUUGCACAAUGGGGGCAACCCUGAUGCAGCGACGCCGCGUGAGCGAUGAAGCCCUUCGGGGUGUAAAGCUCUUUCGGCUGGAACGAUGAUGACGGUACCAGCAGAAGAAGCUGCGGCUAACUACGUGCCAGCAGCCGCGGUAAUACGUAGGCAGCGAGCGUUGUUCGGAGUUACUGGGCGUAAAGAGUGCGUAGGCGGUUGGCUAAGUUUGGUGUGAAAUCUCCCGGCUCAACUGGGAGGGUGCGCCGAAAACUGGCUGGCUAGAGUGUGGGAGAGGCUAGCGGAAUUCCUGGUGUAGCGGUGAAAUGCGUAGAUAUCAGGAGGAACACCUGCGGUGUAGACGGCUGGCUGGACCACGACUGACGCUGAGGCACGAAAGCGUGGGGAGCAAACAGGAUUAGAUACCCUGGUAGUCCACGCCCUAAACGAUGCAUACUUGGUGUGGGCAGUUCAUUCUGUCCGUGCCGGAGCUAACGCGUUAAGUAUGCCGCCUGGGGAGUACGGUCGCAAGGCUGA
rnacentral:rRNA from 1 species